GUCCCUGUUGCGCAAGCAAUGGAUAACGCAUUGGACUUUUAAUCUAAAGGGUUCGAAUCCCACCUGGGAUG